GACGAACGCUGGCGGCGUGCUUAACAAAUGCAAGUCGAACGGAAAGGCCCUGCUUUUGUGGGGGGCUCGAGUGGCGAACGGGUGAGUAACACGUGAGUAACCUGCCCUUGACUUUGGGAUAACUUCAGGAAACUGGGGCUAAUACCGGAUAGGAGCUCCUGCUGCAUGGUGGGGGUUGGAAAGUUUCGGCGGUUGGGGAUGGACUCGCGGCUUAUCAGCUUGUUGGUGGGGUAGUGGCUUACCAAGGCUUUGACGGGUAGCCGGCCUGAGAGGGUGACCGGCCACAUUGGGACUGAGAUACGGCCCAGACUCCUACGGGAGGCAGCAGUGGGGAAUAUUGCACAAUGGGCGGAAGCCUGAUGCAGCAACGCCGCGUGCGGGAUGACGGCCUUCGGGUUGUAAACCGCUUUCGCCUGUGACGAAGCGUGAGUGACGGUAAUGGGUAAAGAAGCACCGGCUAACUACGUG
rnacentral:rRNA from 1 species